ACUACAAACUUGACAUUGGCUAAUCUUUGUAAAGCCAGACGAGAGAAAAAAAAAUCUUAACUGUUUUAUAAUCACUUAGGAACAAGUUUGGAACUACCAUUUUCAUUACUAUGCUAUUAUGUGAGUGUAUGUUGUAUUUGUGAGUUGAGGGGCUUGUGACCUAGUUGUGAUAGUGUAUAUCAAUCGAUAGCGAUUGUUAAGCAACGUUUACAUUGGCCCAAAUCGGUAACUGGAUGGGCGUCCAACUUCGAAAAAUGUAGUUGCCACUAAGUACAAACUAAUUAACAUAAUUCAAAAAAAAUCAAAAUUCAAAAUAUUUUUAUUCAAUUAGACCUACCUAAACAAGACAUUGAUAAAAAAUUGAAACUAUAAAAUUGAGUAGGUACGUAGUUUAACAGAGAAACUAUAAAAAUAAACAGCUGAAUUGAUAAAAGAUUGAUAACCUUCUUCAGCCAAAUAGUUGACAGAUUUGACAGUCAUUGACGAGAUUUGAAUAUCGAACAAAACAUUUUUAAGGUCAAUGGUUAAUUAAUCGUCAAAGGACAUGUGGCAUUCGCCUACUAAUUAA